rnacentral:lncRNA from 1 species
AAGAAGAAGCAGCAGGGGCGCGGUGGCUCGAAUUGCUCUGGAUCGGGAUCAGCGGUGGCUCGGCUCGCUCUGGAUCUGGAGAGGAGGAAGAAGAAGAACCAGCGGGCGGCGGCUCUGGAUCGGGAUCCCCUCCCGUUCGCUGCGGGCUCAACCCUUCCCCAGCAAGAGCAGGGGUGCGCCCGCGCGUCCUCCUCCUGGUACAGCCUCAAAUCCCUCAUCCAUUUCCCCGUUCUCUGCUUCUCUGACUCUAGCUGUGUUAAACGCAUAGUAUUAACUUCUUGAACGGCCAUGGCUCACCCACGGGUUCUGUGCGUCUAAAUUGCUUUGCUUGCAGGGAGGGGAAGACCGGUGAUGGACUGGCCGACGAGGGUGAAGAUCGCGGCGGGAUCGGC